rnacentral:rRNA from 1 species
AUGGGCGCAAGCCUGACCGAGCGACGCCGCGUGGAGGAUGAAGGCCUUCGGGUUGUAAACUCCUGUCGAGGGGGAGGAAGGGGUAACCUUGACCGAUCCCUGGAGGAAGCACGGGCUAAGUUCGUGCCAGCAGCCGCGGUAAGACGAACCGUGCUAACGUUAUUCGGAAUCACUGGGCUUAAAGCGCGUGUAGGCGGAUGGGGACGUCGGUCGUUGAAAGCCCCCGGCUUAACCGGGGAACUGGCACCGAAACGCCCCGUCUGGAGGGACGUAGGGGGACCUGGAACUUCCGGUGGAGCGGUGAAAUGCGUUGAGAUCGGAAGGAACACCCGUGGCGAAAGCGAGGUCCUGGACGUUUUCUGACGCUGAGACGCGAAAGCUAGGGGAGCGAACGGGAUUAGAUACCCCGGUAGUCCUAGCUGUAAACGAUGGGCACUAGAUAGGGGGCUCGCCGAUGGGCUCCCUGUCGUAGGGAAACCGUGAAGUGCCCCGCCUGGGGAGUAU